UGGGGAAUCUUGCACAAUGGGCGAAAGCCUGAUGCAGCGACGCCGCGUGCGGGAUGAAGGCCUUCGGGUUGUAAACCGCUUUCAGCAGGGACGAGGCCGCAAGGUGACGGUACCUGCAGAAGAAGCCCCGGCUAACUACGUGCCAGCAGCCGCGGUAAUACGUAGGGCGCAAGCGUUAUCCGGAAUUAUUGGGCGUAAAGAGCUUGUAGGCGGUUCGUCGCGUCUGGUGUGAAAGCCCAUCGCUUAACGGUGGGUUUGCGCCGGGUACGGGCGGGCUAGAGUGCAGUAGGGGAGACUGGAAUUCCCGGUGUAACGAUGGAAUGUGUAGAUAUCGGGAAGAACACCAAUGGCGAAGGCAGGUCUCUGGGCUGUUACUGACGCUGAGAAGCGAAAGCGUGGGGAGCGAACAGG
rnacentral:rRNA from 1 species